rnacentral:tRNA from 1 species
GGGCUGGGGCUCAGUGGUAGAGUGCCUGCCUCCCGAGCGGGAGGCCCUGGGUUCAAUCCUCAGCACCACA